rnacentral:rRNA from 1 species
GGGGGCCAGACUGUUGUGUCAAUUAACGGAGAAGCUGGGAACUUCUUUCGCAACAAGCAUGGCCUAAGACAAGGAUACCAUAUCUCCCCCUUGAUCUUUAGCCUUGUUGCGGACGCCCUCUUGGCCAUGAUCGACAAGGUGAAGGGUGCUGGGCACAUUCGCUGCGUGGUCACUCACCUCAUUCCUGGGGGAGUUCGCAUCUCCAAUACGCGGGCGGCAUGA